UCCCGGAGUUUCAUCUUUCCUUUGCACUGGUUUCCUUCCUGGUCCAAGUCACCCCAGGUUUACAGGGGCUCCCCCUCGGAGCAGUGGUGCCUUGUGUCACUGCUUUGUUGGACACCCUCCUUGUGAGCUCAGCCUGCUUGCUCUGCAGCCGGUGGCUGGCUGAGCCCUUCAGCAGGGCAGCACCGUGCUCAGGGUUAGGUCACCCCGUGGCAUCCAGAUCAGCGCUUGAGUGCUCAGGACAGGACAGGGACCAGUACACAGCCAAGAAGCAGCUUUGCCGCCUAGGUCAGGAACUUCAGAUCCUUUGCAAUGAAUUCUCUUCGAUAAUCCCAGCCCAUUUUAUGCUGACUGCAUCUGUUGAGAUGUUUGUCAGAGCUGCUGUGGUUCCCCUCAAGCUGCAUCUUCCAGGGUACUUCAGAGAUCUUGGAAGUGCAACAGAUGUCUCACCACCACCACAGUUAAGUUAAGGACCUUCAGCGUGAUCAUCAUCCAGCAACAUUUUUCACAUGCACAGCAACUUAAAGCACCCCAGCUGGUUUUCCAGCUUCUUAGAAGUUAGAAAUAGGCCUGAUCCUUUCUGUAAGCCAAGGAGGACUGGAGAUGUGGCUUCCCCUUUGGGUCAUUUUAUUUCACGGUCAGCAUGAGUGACUCAUGAGAACAAAACAAGAACCGGGUACAGUUAGGUCCAGUGAAGCUCAGACUUACUGCUGAAGUACAUGAAGUUAAAGCGUGUGUAAAUACUGAUGCAAAAAGCAGUGUCUUGCAAGACAAUUUAUUUAACAUGUAUUGGUACUUUAUUUAGAUUCAAUGUAUAAAGCAACUUUGUGCACUUUUCCUACAUACAGUAUUGGGGGGUUUUAUGUUCUUUUGUUAUGGGUUUUGUGCUGUCUUUUUUAAUCAGUGGAAUUGUUAAGUAUUUAAUUUAUUAUUGAUGUGCCCAGAGGACUAGUGCAAUUUUUAUUCAAUACAGUUUGUCUGUAUUUAAUGUCAGGAUUUUUUUGUAGCAUUGUUAGGGAAUAUUUUUCAAAACCUGCCUUUUUUUUCCCCACAGCUCUCCUCUUCCCCUUUCCCCACCCCCCUUUUCUCUUCUAUUUUCAUUAUACAGAUGACGAGGCUUGAAAUGCCUCUAGUUUGUAAUAUAAUCAACCACUUUAGUACAUCCUGCAGUUUCUAAAACAAAAAAAAAAAGGUUCUCCAGGAAAAAAAUGCUAAGGAGGCACUUCUCACUGGUUUGUGUUUGAUUUAUUGGAUGGGGGUGUGUGCGUGUGCGUGCCCAGAGCUUUGGAGGGGGGAGUGGGGAAGUUGUACAUAAAGUUUGUUUUCAGCAAAAUAAAUGGCCAACUGGGCUACAGGGAAAGCUAGAUUUGAACACUCAUUUUUUUUUUUUUUCUCUGAGUACAGCUGUAUUUGUACAAUCUUGUUUGAAACACCGAAUGCCAAAACUCCUCUUCUCAUUCUUUCUUUGCGAAGCGUGCGUAUGUUGUAACUGUGACAGUAACUUGGCUGCCACCACAGAUACCGUGAGAGGCUUUGCCUUUGUCUCGAAAGCAACAUGCCAGGCAUUGUCCAAACGCAAAUGGACCCAAACCAUUGCCCCAGCCCUGCAGAUUCUGUCAUCCUUUGAGUUUUUGAGACCUGGGUGAAUAUUUACAUACCUGUACUAGCUUUUGUUUGAGUUGACCCAAACCCUGUAACCGAGUGCCUGGACAGGUAAUCUGGGUUUGAGUCUUAGAGGCCCCUGCCUCUGCUUUCCCAUGGGACAACUUCAAGUUGCUGGCAAGUUGAAAUGAUCCCCCCCUCAUCAAAUGAUCACCCCUCACUGAGGGGUGCCUUGGGUGUUUUUAAUAUUGUGGUCUCUGAGAUGCUCUCUGCACUGCGAAACUCCUUUGAGCAGUCAUGAAGAAAAACACGGAAUUGGAAGAAACGGUGUCAAGCCCUUUUGUUUAAAGACAAGCUGAGACUGAUCAGCAUAAAACAGCUCAGUAACAUCUCAGAGCAGCACAACUGGCCAUUAUUUAUGCAAGAGAAAAUCAGGACCUCCAAAAGAAAUGCACUGAUAACUGACGGUCCAGCAGCCCUAACGCAGCUGUCCUCUGCUGCUGGGCUGUCCCUGACCCUGUUCCUCUCUUCUCACUGCCCGAGCAUUAUUGCUUUCAACCAAAGACAAAACAGAGUGAACGGAUUUGAUGUGAUAUUAAACACUUGGUUUGCUGAUGGCAAACGUCGGUGUGAGUGUGCCUGCGUGCGAGAGCAUUUGGUGCUGUUGUGUGGAGAAAGGUGGGCAAGGAGGGACCGAGCAGAAGGGAGAGUGGGAGUUUGAAAGAACUUUAUUUUUUAUUUUUUUUUUUGAGAUUCCAAAAUAUACAGUGCUGUUUCCAUAGGAAUGUGAUUCGUAUCACAGUCUGCCUCCUGGCUCCUCUGCCUUGUAGGGAAUUUGGACUGGGGUACGUACCUAGCACGUGUCAGUGGGAGGAAAGGGCAGGCAAAUAGUUACAGGGAGGGAAAGAGGGGCAGAGUGGGAGCCACGAUGGUUUCCAGGGCACGAGGAGGACCUUGUGUGUUCCUAGUGCAGGAGCUGAGAUGGCUGGAGAUGCUGACUGAAGCAGGAGCAUCCCUCCACAAACAUCCUGUCUCACCAUGGAGGGGCACGUUCAGUUUGUGUGUCCUGCUCCACUCGCUGACACACGGCCAGGCGCUUGCCUUCAGGUUGUGAGCGGAGCUGUAGGCCUGUCUCAGUCGCUUCCAUUCAUCCCAUCCCUCUGUCAGCACAGGAAUAUUAGAGUGGAUUCCCCAUCCUGGGAGCCCUCGGUGUGACACCUGGGGCUGCUGGAUCACAGACGGGGAGUGAGCCUUUCCCACGGCAGGGCGACAGAGCCUGGGCUGGAAGCCUUUGGGACGAGACAGCCCAGCCAGCCUCUUGCUGGCCGAGGCUCCCGCACCUUCCUAUCUAAACAGCACGGAGAGAAAGUUCUUCAGCCAAGUAAAAGCUGCUAUGUGUGGUUGAUUAACAUGGCUCCGAUACGCGCCGAACGGCUGGGCUGCUGCACCAGGGGCUGGCACUUGCUGUAAAUAUGCUGUAACCUAUUAACCUCCUUCACUUGCCUGCUUUCAGUACAACUUUGUAACACGUUUUAUAAUUCCCCCUUUCCCUACACAGCCUGUACUGACUGUAACUAUGGAACCAGAUAUUCUGUAUGUUAUUACCUUUGUACAAUUUUAAAACUGUUGCUGUGGUGUCUGCCUUUUUUUCCUCCCUUCUCUUCUAUUGUCUCUUGAAACACUGUUAAUAAAAAUCUAGAUGAACUCUUUC